UACGUAGGGGGCAAGCGUUGUCCGGAUUUAUUGGGCGUAAAGAGCGUGUAGGCGGUUAGGUAGGUCCGUUGUGAAAACUCGAGGCUCAACCUCGAGACGCCGAUGGAAACCAUCUAACUAGAGUCCGGAAGAGGAGAAUGGAAUUCCUGGUGUAGCGGUGAAAUGCGCAGAUAUCAGGAAGAACACCCGUGGCGAAGGCGGCUCUCUGGGACGGUACUGACGCUGAGACGCGAAAGCGUGGGGAGCGAACAGG
rnacentral:rRNA from 1 species